AACGAACGCUGGCGGCAGGCUUAAUACAUGCAAGUCGAACGGGCGCAGCAAUGCGUCAGUGGCAGACGGGUGAGUAACACGUGGGAACCUUCCUCGUUGUACGGAACAACUCAGGGGAAACUUGAGCUAAUACCGUAUAAGUCCGAGAGGAGAAAGAUUUAUCGCAAUGAGACGGGCCCGCGUCGGAUUAGGUAGUUGGUGAGGUAACGGCUCACCAAGCCAACGAUCCGUAGCUGAUCUGAGAGGAUGAUCAGCCACACUGGGACUGAGACACGGCCCAGACUCCUACGGGAGGCAGCAGUAGGGAAUCUUGGACAAUGGGCGCAAGCCUGAUCCAGCCAUGCCGCGUGAGUGAAGAAGGCCUU
rnacentral:rRNA from 1 species